rnacentral:rRNA from 1 species
AAUCAACGCUGGCGGCGUGCCUCAGACAUGCAAGUCGAACGCGAAAGUUUCCUUCGGGAAGCGAGUAGAGUGGCGCACGGGUGAGUAACACGUAAGUAAUCUACCCUUGGGUGGGGAAUAACAUCGGGAAACCGAUGCUAAUACCGCAUAAUGCAGCGGCUUCUUAUGAAGACAGUUGUUAAAGCAUUUAUGUGCCUGAGGAGGAGCUUGCGGCAGAUUAGCUAGUUGGUAAGGUAAUGGCUUACCAAGGCAACGAUCUGUAGCCGACCUGAGAGGGUGGUCGGUCACACUGACACUGAAUAACGGGUCAGACUCCUACGGGAGGCAGCAGUCGGGAAUUUUGGGCAAUGGGCGCAAGCCUGACCCAGCAACGCCGCGUGAAGGAUGAAGUAUUCGGUAUGUAAACUUCGUAAAAAUA